rnacentral:rRNA from 1 species
AACGAACGCUGGCGGCAUGCCUAACACAUGCAAGUCGAACGAGACCUUCGGGUCUUGUGGCGCACGAGUGCGUAACGCGUGGGAAGCUUCCCUUAUGUUCGGCAUAACUCCCCGACAGGGAUGCUAAUACCAGAUCAUAUCUACGAACCAAAGAUAUAUCGCCCUUGGUGGUGCCCUCGUUGGAUUAGCUAGUUGUUAGGGUAAAAGCCUACUACGGCGACGAUGCAUAGCUGGUCUGAGAGGCAGAUCAGCGACACUGGGACUGAGAAGCGGCCCAGACUCCUACGGGAGGCAGCAGUGGGUAAUAGUGGACAAUGGGGGGAAGGAUGAUGGUGCAAUGACGGGAGAGCGAUGAAGGCAGUAGGGAUGUAAAGCUCUUUUAACCAGGAUGAUAAUGACAGUACCGGGAGAAUAAGCCCCGGCUAACUACGUG